UAGGGAAUAUUGCAAAAUGGGCGAAAGCCCGCUGCAGCAACGCCGCGUGGGCGAUGAAGGCCUUCGGGUCGUAAAGCCCUUUUUGAGGGGAUGAGGAAGGACAGUACCCUCAGAAUAAGCCUCGGCUAACUACGUGCCAGCAGCCGCGGUAAAACGUAGGAGGCGAGCGUUAUCCGGAUUUACUGGGCGUAAAGCGCGUGCAGGCGGAUUGGAGAGUUGGAUGUGAAAGCUCCCGGCUUAACUGGGAGAGGUCGUUCAAUACUUCCAGUCUUGAGUUCAGUAGAGGGAAGUGUAAUUCCGGGUGUAGUGUUGAAAUGCGUAGAUA
rnacentral:rRNA from 1 species